rnacentral:rRNA from 1 species
UGGAGGAAAAGSUAGGGGAUCGCAAGACCUUGCGCUCUUGGAGCGGCCGAUGUCUGAUUAGCUAGUUGGUGAGGUAAAGGCUUACCAAGGCGACGAUCAGUAGCUGGUCUGAGAGGACGACCAGCCACACUGGGACUGAGACACGGCCCAGACUCCUACGGGAGGCAGCAGUGGGGAAUUUUGGACAAUGGGGGAAACCCUGAUCCAGCCAUGCCGCGUGAGUGAAGAAGGCCUUCGGGUUGUAAAGCUCUUUCAGCCGGAACGAAACGGUCACGGCUAAUACCUGUGACYACUGACGGUACCGGAAGAAGAAGCACCGGCUAACUACGUGCCAGCAGCCGCGGUAAUACGUAGGGUGCAAGCGUUAAUCGGAAUUACUGGGCGUAAAGCGUGCGCAGGCGGUUUUGUAAGUCAGAUGUGAAAUCCCCGGGCUUAACCUGGGAACUGCGUUUGAAACUACCAAAAGCUAGA